GCCCUUAACUCUCUCCGGCUCUCUCAUUCUCUCCCUUCAUCUCCCUGUCCCUCCCUCUGUUGUCCGGCUUAAGUUAACUCCCUCCAUGUUUCUCCUUAACUGUAUCCCAAUCCCAAUCCCUAUCUAUCUAUCUAUCUAUCUAUCUAUCUAUCUAUCUAUCUAUCUAUCUAUCUAUAAAAUCCGUCUGUCUGUCUCCACUACCUUCCGUUGGGUCACAAUUGCUGACAGAUUCAACCUUUAAAUAUAUGCAAUACCCAGCAGAUUCUGACCACUUUCAUCUUUCUUUAUUUAUUGUUUCCAGUUUCAAUAAAAACCUAAAAGUGGAGGUUUGCUCCUUUACCUCCAGCAGAAGGCCGGCCCAGCAGUCCCCUAAGUGCUUCCAGCACUCGUCCUCGGUCUCAGCCCACCCAGCACUUGGCGCCCCAGGGUGCCCCUGGUGUCCUGGGGGUCCGGAAGCCAUCGGUUCUGAGAACGACAGCUCCUUCAGUUCCCCUUCGCUGGGUUUCUGCGAACGUCGGUGACAAAUUCCAGGAAUAACUUCAGUUCCUGGCCUCGCAUUGGACUCCUGGGAUGCAGCGCUGAGAGCCCGUGUUUAGAUGCACAUCCUUUGGGAUGAAAAGACCUAAUGCGUUACCCUUUGCCAUGUAUCUUGGAAAACACAGUGAUGCCCACAUCUGCUCAGGAGGGGUGAGGACAGCACCGCUCAUGGCUUGAUGCUUGAUGGAGCGAUGUUCCAGGCGUGGGUGAGAGACACAGUUCCACCCACAUCCUGGACAGCACAGAUGUCACUGAGAGCAACGCGGGUGAGGAACCCCCCAGUCACUGCACACCCAAGGGAUCGUGCGCUAAUUUGUGUUCUCUGGGGCUAUGAAGCACACAUGGUCAGCUUAGCGCAGCAGGGAACCUGAGGCUUCGCCGUAGAGCGCACAGCAAUUUACAGACAAGCCACUGAGAAGAUCCGUUCUUCCCAACAUUUGCCAACCGAGCAGUUUGAAGCAGGACCAUCUCACAUUCAUUUGCCGCCACCACGCAACGUGGUCAAUUCGGAGUUAAUUCGGAUUGUGGGAGGAAACCAGAGCUCCCAGAAACAACCCACACAGACAACGGGGGGGAACAUUCAAACUCCACAUGGACCGAGCCGGAUCCGAACCGCAUUCGAAGCCCAGGAACGGCGAGGCCCCAGAGCCCUUCCCGCUGCGCCACCAUGCUCCCGCUUGGUCAAGUUCGGCUGCUGCGUCUCCUAAGAUGGAACCAAUUAGUUUCUUUGUGCCUCCACACCCUGCCCCAUCUCCACACGAAGCCUUGUUCCGUAAAGGUAUCGACAAAGGAAGCAUUUUGGUUACACGUGGCAUCAUGCUUUAAUUAUUCCUUUGACACUGACAUUGCAAGGAAAACAUGAGUAAACACAGGAAACAUAAUUAUGAGACUCUUACCGCAGAUGUUUAUAUUUAGAUUUCGGCUGUUCUGGCCAUGUCUCGUCUUAAUGUGGUGGGAAGGUACAUCUGAGACACGGGAGGCACUAGAAAACAAUGAGGUAAUGCUGAAAUGUAGCACUGCAAAGCUGCGCUUUCUUCUCGGCAUAAUAUGCAGUGCAGGUCAACAAGUUACGUGACAUUAUUACCGCUUUUAUUUUAAGUGACGCAAUGAUUAUGGCUUUUAUACGCUGUAUAUACAGUAAAAAAAUGAGUAUAUAUCACACUGUAGGCUUGUUUACUCUUCAUAUAAACCCGGUGACUGUUCUGUAUUACACAAUCUUUCAAAGUCCUGAGUUCUGUUGAUUUUUUCAUUGAUUAUGAUUUGUUUGCUUAUUACUAAAAUAC